UCUCUCCUGCCUGCAAACAUGGCAUCAGGAAACAUAAACACCUACAAGAUAAAAGCAAAACCUAAUCCUAAAAAAACAAGCCUGACUAUUUACCCACCCAGAUCUAACUCUGGAUUAGACCCAUGCAACUCACACUGGAGCCUAACAGCAGCUACUGCUGUUCAUGCUACUGUGAGAGAACAUUCUGAGAACUGCCUUCAUGGAGAGCCUAAAAAUCAGGCAGGAAAUCAGAUACAAAGAAGAAAAUGGGGUAACAAGAUAGUGCCAUGUUACUGUAAGAAGAGCAUAAAUCUUUAUACAAGGGGGCAGACUGGAGAACGUCAGGGAUUUCCAUGUGUGAAUGUUUAAAAGAAAACCUUAUUCGUGCUGGAGUGGGGAAGAAAGGAACUGACAAUCUGGGAACACAAAAAGAAAAAAGGGGGAACCUUAAAAUAUGAAGAUUGGCCAAGUCUUGAAUUCUGAAGUAAUCAGUGUUCUUUUCUGUGCCUUUUGUUUCCUCAUUAACUGGACCAGGACACUAUAUCUCUAAAAAGGUAAGGACAUAAUAUUUUCAAAGUAUUCUGAAAUAUCAUUUUAAAUUAUUAUAUUUAUCUGUCUUUGAAUGUAGCUUGUUUGGAAUCAAAACAAUACACGAGAGAUCCCAAUAAAAUAUCAAAAGCCACCUCAGAAAAACAGCUUUAUGAAGUCAUUAAUUCUUUAAAAGCUCAUCAGUUUAGUUACUUACUGAAGACACUUGCUCCAGAGAGGCUCCUUCAAGAUUUUUAUCCCAUGGAUAUUAACAUGCCGAAGUACGUUGCAAGUCUGACAUUUUUUCCCUGUCUAUCCAUGCAAGAAUGUAAUCGAAGAAAAAACUAAAUUAAACAUUUAUGAUGGAAGCUGUAUGAAAGCUGAGAUAGUAGCUAGUGCUAAUGUGACAGCUUUCCAGUCUGGUACCUCGCAGACAAGCUUUGUUCCUGUCUGUUCUGCCUAUGUUCCUUCGCUAUUUAAAAAGUAUUUUCGUCGAGAAAACAUCCCCUGCUACUCAAGUAGGAACUGAUGUGUUUUCUGCCACUUCUAAAAAUGAUUUCUGUUUCUAAAUGGCAAAGUCUGCCUAGUUGCUUGAAGCAUGUACAACUGUGUAGCCAAGAGAGAAACUGACCAAUAGUCUCAAUUGUGAUUAGAAGACAAUUGGUCCCUCAUACCUGUCUUCAAAAAGUGAGAGCACCUGGCAGCUUCUGAAAUAGCCAACUUUCUGUUCCUUCUCUGCCACGAUGGUGGGAAAACUGGAUUCCAACACAGUGCUUCUCAGAAAUAACUACAAUUGUGACUUCUUUAGUUCAAAGGUCUGAAGCAAUGCAGAAAAGAUGACACACAUAAUGACCCAACCAACACUUUGUAACUCUACAGUGAUUCUUCAAAUCCUGCUUUGACAUCAAGCAGCUUCAAUUUGUUGCAGGUACAAAGGAAGGAGUAGAGAGGAAAAGAUAAUUGGGACAGUGCUCCCAUUUGAAAGGGAGCUUAUGGUUUCCUGCAUGGAUGGAGAUUAAACAUGUCUUGCCUACUUGGCACUGACCACAUGAAAUACAGUAUUAGAGAGACUUUCUGAGCAAGGACUUGACAGGCAGACAUUUAAGAUCGUUGAUUUUCUUUGCAUCUUCUAAACUAGAAGAGAGAUUUUGGUGAGGGAUGAUUGUAAAAUUAAAAAAAAAAAAAAAAAAAAAAAAGAAAAAAAAAAGAGAGAGUUAUAACAGAAGUAAAAGGAACAGCUCUAAGCCCUGAAUCAUCAGGAAAACCAAACAAACUAGACUUUCACUGUUUGUGGUCACUGCUGAACACCUACAGUACAGUGUAGGAAAUGGACCACUGUCUAAUGUAUUGUGUUGUCCCGAGACUCAGAAUGCUGCUAAGUAUCCUGGAUGUUCUUUCUCACUCUGAGCUCUCUAUGGUCUCUAUUAAAGUAAGCUCAUUCUAUGGAGGAUGAGAUAUUUUUCCAUGAGCCACUUUUCUUCUCUUAAGGGUCCUCUCAGGGCAACUGCUAAAUUGUCCUGCAAGGCUGACUAUGCCCUGAUGUCAGAGCAUACCAGCUGAAAUGGUCAGCAACAUAAAAUCAACUGGAGAUGCUAUACCAGAAGAGUAUGUUGGCACUAAUAUUUUCCAAAUAAACCCACUCAGGAUAAAAAUAAAUUUUUUUUUUUUUUUUUUUUUUUUUAAUAAUGUCAUAUUAAAGGACAAGCAUUGCAUCAGCAGACUUACACAACACAUUAAAAAUCCCAGGGAAACAAUACAUCACACAUGAAGAGCUUCCUACCAGAUUCAUGCAGUUAAUGAAAUUCUAUGCAACUUCUUCCAGGAAAAUAGCUUGCGUACUCUGAAGCUAUAUCUAGGAUUUUUACAAACUGUUCUGCAUGAUUCAUUCAGUGCUCGGUAGAUUAGAUGUUAUUGAAUUCACAUGAGUUCAUGUUAAAUAAAGUGAAACACAACAUCUGCGGCUACUCAUCACUCAAACAUAUGACAUCCAUUGCCAAACACAAGAGUGACUCAGUAAUGUUGUAAUUACCAAAGUGGGUCAGUGGUGAAUUAGAAAGUGGAGAUUGUUAUAACACCAACUCCUUAGAUUAUCUGUGAUCAGAACAGGCUAUCAGAGUUUGUUAUAUACAGCAAGCACAAACAAUCCUGGACUGUGCACAAGGAAUAUGCAGGACUGGCAUUUCAUCCUGUAAAAUGUAACUGCACAGAAAAGUGUAAGAUGGAGCAGCCUUGUCCCACCUGUUACAGUGGAUUGAAUGGCCUGUGCUGCAAGUGCCACUGAAAUUCAACAGAGACUGGGGAGAAAAAAGGGGAAACUGUGAGUACUAUACCUGCUUCUUAUUUCUGACUCUAAACUUCCAAUGAUUUCUUCCCAAAUGGCUGUUCAGAACUCGGUCUGCACUGUGUUUUGCCAGGGCCAAGCAAAGAAACAGAAGCAAAGGAAAUGAAUUAAAAACAAACAAACAAAAGAAGUAAAAAGCAAUUCUGUGUCAAGUAAGAGCCAGAACAUGAGAUCAGUGUGUACCAAGCACAACUAGAACAAACUAGAUAUCACAGUAAGGGACAUGAUUUAGUGGGCAUGAUGGCAAUGGGUUGAUGGUUGGACUGGAUGAUCUUAGUGGUCUUUCCAACCUCAAUGAUUCUGUGAUUCUAUGGAAAGCUGGGAGACUACAGUUCCAGAUAAUUCAAAGCUGUGUUAUUCAUGGUAUGAUAGCCUGCAUGGCAAAGGUCAAUCUCAAGUCUAUGCACCAUGCAAGCUAGAAAUGCUGAUGUGCAUCAAGAGGAGACAGGGCUAUGUGACUAACACGGUUUGGCUUAUUUGGACUUUCCUAGCCUGCAGGACCAGAAGCAGUUGGGAAGAAGAGAGUGGCCUUUGGCACACAUCUACUACCAUCUCAAACUCAGAGUUUCCAUUCCAUAGGAAGACAUCUCCACUGCUCAGUGCCCCACCCCUGGCAUGUGCAUACUCAUUCUUUGUUUUGAUAAGCAAAUCAGUGAGUGCUUUAAUGUAUUAUACCUGGGGGAAUUUAACUCAGAAUUCUGUGCUCAGGUUCCAGGAGGAUGUAGUUAAUUUUUACACCAGCAAUUUGUGUUUUGU